rnacentral:rRNA from 1 species
GGUCUCUUCGGAGAUAGUGGCGGACGGGUGAGUAACGCGUGAGAAUCUAGCUUCAGGUCGGGGACAGCCACUGGAAACGGUGGCUAAUACCGGAUGUGCCGAGAGGUAAAAGGCUUGCUGCCUGAAGAUGAGCUCGCGUCUGAUUAGCUAGUAGGUGUGGUAAGAGCGCACCUAGGCGACGAUCAGUAGCUGGUCUGAGAGGAUGAUCAGCCACACUGGGACUGAGACACGGCCCAGACUCCUACGGGAGGCAGCAGUGGGGAAUUUUCCGCAAUGGGCGAAAGCCUGACGGAGCAAUACCGCGUGAGGGAGGAAGGCUCUUGGGUUGUAAACCUCUUUUCUCAAGGAAGAAAAAAAUGACGGUACCUGAGGAAUAAGCAUCGGCUAACUCCGUGCCAGCAGCCGCGGUAAUACGGAGGAUGCAAGCGUUAUCCGGAAUGAUUGGGCGUAAAGCGUCCGCAGGUGGCUAUGUAAGUCUGCUGUUAAAGAGUGAGGCUCAACCUCAUAAGAGCAGUGGAAACUACAUAGCUAGAGUGCGUUCGGGGCAGAGGGAAUUCCCGGUGUAGCGGUGAAAUGCGUAGAGU